GUAGGUGGCAAGCGUUGUCCGGAAUUAUUGGGCGUAAAGCGCGCGCAGGCGGUUCUUUAAGUCUGAUGUGAAAGCCCACGGCUCAACCGUGGAGGGUCAUUGGAAACUGGAGAACUUGAGUACAGAAGAGGAAAGCGGAAUUCCACGUGUAGCGGUGAAAUGCGUAGAGAUGUGGAGGAACACCAGUGGCGAAGGCGGCUUUCUGGUCUGUAACUGACGCUGAGGCGCGAAAGCGUGGGGAGCAAACAGGAUUAGAUACCCUGGUAGUUCACGCCGUAAACGAUGAGUGCUAAGUGUUAGGGGGUUUCCGCCCCCCUUAGUGCUGCAGCUAACGCAUUAAGCACUCCGCCUGGGAGUACGGCCGCAAGGCUG
rnacentral:rRNA from 1 species